AACUAACAAGUAGUGCUGGCGAAGACGUAGUUUUUGCCAUGAAUACCUUCAUAACGCGCCUGCUGUCUGUUUCAGAUCCUGCGAAAAUGAAGACAGCGGUCACUGAGACAAGCGCUCCUGAACUAGCAAAUUUGCUCUUCUGGUUGAUGGUGGUUGGUUACAGCAUUCGCAAUAUUGAGGUGAGAUUCGACAUGGAAAAGGUGCUCGGCGCUCCUCCCAAGCUGGCCGAACUACCACCCGGCGAAAACAUAUAGAGCCACAAAGCAUCAGAGUUUUCAAAAAUACAAAAUUAAAUCGCUUCUCAUCAACUGUCUCCAGCUUCUAAGGUGACAUUCAGUAGAGAAACACAACAAUUGGAUGAUGGUGGGACAAGAUGCUGCUAAAAUGUCAUUUUGGAAUUGAGAGAGAGAUAGAGAAUAAGUUGGGUUGUAUUGUUGGUCCAGUUUUUGAAAAUUCAUUUUGUAUUUUUUGUUCACCAAAGGCUAGCUCUGUUUGUUUUGGCAUAUUUUAUCUAUCCCUCCCAAUUCUAUCUUACAAUUUUUUCUUUUUUUUAGGG